UGGUAAUGCCGGAUGCUCCGGUUGGAUGCAUGUCCUUCCGGGAAAGAUUCUAUCGGUAUGGGAUGGGGUCGCGUCCUAUCAGCUUGAUGGCGGGGUAACGGCCCACCAUGGCUUCGACGGGUAGCCGGCCUGAGAGGGCGACCGGCCACAUUGGGACUGAGAUACGGCCCAGACUCCUACGGGAGGCAGCAGUGGGGAAUAUUGCACAAUGGGCGCAAGCCUGAUGCAGCGACGCCGCGUGCGGGAUGGAGGCCUUCGGGUUGUAAACCGCUUUUGAUCGGGAGCAAGCCCUUCGGGGUGAGUGUACCUUUCGAAUAAGCACCGGCUAACUACGUGCCAGCAGCCGCGGUAAUACGUAGGGUGCAAGCGUUAUCCGGAAUUAUUGGGCGUAAAGGGCUCGUAGGCGGUUCGUCGCGUCCGGUGUGAAAGCCCAUCGCUUAACGGUGGGUCUGCGCCGGGUACGGGCGGGCUGGAGUGCGGUAGGGGAGACUGGAAUUCCCGGUGUAACGGUGGAAUGUGUAGAUAUCGGAAAAAAAAC
rnacentral:rRNA from 1 species